rnacentral:lncRNA from 1 species
GUUCUUUGGCUCUUGUGUGAGUGGAUGGUGACACCAGGCCAGCUGGGGAUUCUUCCCAGGCUGGGCUCACAGGCUGGGGCUGGGCACACGGAGCAGCUGCGGGAAAAGGAUCUGGACACCAGCCCCCCAGCGUGUCACCGGCAGGAAGGUGAGGUGGGAACAGAGUGACGUCCAUGCAUGUUCAGAGACAAGGUUUCCCUACGUUGCCCAGACUGGUCUUGAACUCCUAGCCUCAAGCAGUCCUUCUGCCUCAGCCUCCCAAUGUGCUGGGAUUACAGGCAUGAGCCACUGCACUUGACCAAGGGACUAAGCCAGUGGAUCACAAACAUCCUGGAGAGCAGUGACUCUGUGAUUCCAUCACAAGAAUAUGAAGGACUGAGAAGAUCUCCAGCUCUGCCCAUUGCACCUUCCCAUUGAGAAGCAGCAUGGCACCCUGGUGGCAGGGGCUGAUACUCAGCCGGGCCAGGGUGCUCUCCUGUUAACCAUAACCAAGCUCACAGGACAUGGGAUGAGCCCACUGUGUGACACAGGGAGCGGGACACAGUCUGUUAAGUCUUGCACAGCCAUGCUCUGCCACGCAGGCAGGCCUUUCCUUGGCCUCCCUCUCCCUGUUCGUGCUCAUGUGAACAUCCACCUACGUGGAUAGACUGGGCUUUGGUUCAUUAUUGCUCUGUGAAUUCCUCGAACUUCCGCAUCUGCCCAACCUCCCCCACCCCAUUGUUUUCAUUGUGUUUCACCAAAUGGAAAUUCUAGAGUAAGCAUAUAGAAUCUUCAACUCGGAGGCACCAGUCUCUCUCACUUGAGGAAAGAAUGCGAAGGAAGGAAUGGCCUGACUUCCUCAUGUGUGCCCUGUUUCUCGGUAGGCACCAUGUGGGGGCUGCCACACAUGUGCCGAAGCUUUGGGAACGUUCCGUUUAAAUACCAAUUUCGAUGCCAAUGCCUAACAUGGAGCACAAAUAUCCAGGGAGUGUCAUGGCCUCAUAUUCCUGAGUUUCCUGUCUUUACUGACCAAGAUUGAUCAAAAGCACCUUCCUCAAAGGCAUCAAGAGAAAACAGCAAACCAGUCUGAAAUUCCACGACCAAUGAGCCCUGGAAUAUGAGUAUGCUUUUAAAACAGACUGCUUAGAAGAACAAAAUGUUAGAGCAUAAUGUAACCCUGGUAAUUUCUUCAUUGGAACUUUCCACCCACUACUUCUGAACGGAAAAAGUACUCUUGAGUCCUGAGUUACCCAUUACACACUGACUGUUUCCUUAAUAGUAGCUGGUGGAUUAGCUUUUGAGUAGGAUGUCCUGCGACUUCUCACUAUGCCUUCAUUAUUCCCUUUUUAUUCUGUGAAGUGGCAUUCCUUGUUAGUUAUGAAGUGGAAAAUGCAGCUAUUGUAACUCAGCAUACUUGUUCAUAAGAAAUAAAACCAAAAGGAAAUUAAACAAUUUUUUUGGCAUCUGUAAAGGCAUUUUAAAGAUUAGUUAGAAUAAUCCAAUUUUCACUUCCUUUAAAUGAUACUACAUUUAAUUUAAUGAUUUCUGAAUUCAUUAUAAAUAGAAUCAUUUAAAUUAAUGUGAAAAAAAUGGUGUUACCUGUUUUGAAUUAUUAGAAUUCUUCUUUGAAAUUUAUAUCAUGUCAUUAAAGAAUGCCUAGGGACAAAGCUACCUUCGCCCUAUUUGGUUCACUCUUUUGAAGAGGCCGUGGUCCUCUGCCGCUGAGCUCUCAUAAUGCCUGUUGAACAGAAUGGGAAGGCCUUGAGAACCACACUGUGUGUGAACUCACUGAGUGUCAAAAGAGGAGAUGAUGGUGAACUCAUAAAGAAGAAACUGGAGAAUAUACUGUGGACCUUCUUAGGACUCUGUUGUCAUUGAGCUCCGGGAUAAUGAUUCUGUCAGAUUUAUGUCUUAUGAAGUUGAAUAACUCACUCUGUGCAUAAUAUGAGCCGUGAAUCUCCUGCUCAUUCCCAUUUGAUCAUCAGAUGAAACGACAGUGACAGAAAAGUGGCUGAAGCCAUGUUUAAACUUUGCCUGUUCCAUUUUUGGUAAGAGGUCAAAAGUCAUAACAAAAUCAAAUAUUUUGGAUAAUUUAAAUAUUUAGAUUUCUGUCAUUUAUCUACUCUUUUUAUUUGAGGACUAUAGGCAAGACUACUUAUUGCAAUACGAAUAAAGUGGAGAAUCCCAUGGAAUGUAAUCCUGGGAAGA